GAUGAACGCUAGCGGCAGGCUUAACACAUGCAAGUCGAGGGGUAUAGUUCUUCGGAGCUAGAGACCGGCGCACGGGUGCGUAACGCGUAUGCAAUCUACCUUUUGCAGAGGGAUAGCCCAGAGAAAUUUGGAUUAAUACCUCAUAGUAUGUGAGAAUGGCAUCAUUUUCACAUUAAAGUCACAACGGCAAAAGAUGAGCAUGCGUCCCAUUAGCUUGUUGGUAAGGUAACGGCUUACCAAGGCAACGAUGGGUAGGGGUCCUGAGAGGGAGAUACCCCACACUGGUACUGAGACACGGACCAGACUCCUACGGGAGGCAGCAGUGAGGAAUAUUGGACAAUGGGCGAAAGCCUGGUCCAGCCAUGCCGCGUGCAGGAUGACGGUCCUAUGGAUUGUAAACUGCUUUUGUACAGGAAGAAACACUGGUUCGUGAACCAGCUUGACGGUACUGUUAGAAUAAGGAUCGGCUAACUCCGUGCCAGCCGCCGCCGUAAAAC
rnacentral:rRNA from 1 species